GAUGAACGCUGGCGGCGUGCCUAACACAUGCAGGUCGAGCGAUCUUCUUCGGAAGAGAGCGGCGGACGGGUGAGUAACGCGUGGGUAACCUGCCCUGUACACACGGAUAACAUACCGAAAGGUAUGCUAAUACGAGAUAAUAUGCUUUUAUCGCAUGGUAGAAGUAUCAAAGCUCCGGCGGUACAGGAUGGACCCGCGUCUGAUUAGCUAGUUGGUGAGGUAACGGCUCACCAAGGCGACGAUCAGUAGCCGACCUGAGAGGGUGAUCGGCCACAUUGGAACGGAGACUCGGUCCAAACUCCUACGGGAGGCAGCAGUGGGGAAUAUUGCACAAUGGGCGAAAGCCUGAUGCAGCAACGCCGCGUGAGCGAUGAAGGCCUUCGGGUCGUAAAGCUCUGUCCUCAAGGAAGAUAAUGACGGUACUUGAGGAGGAAGCCCCGGCUAACUACGUGCCAGCAGCCGCCGUAACAC
rnacentral:rRNA from 1 species